rnacentral:rRNA from 1 species
UACAGAGGUCUCGAGCGUUGUUCGGAUUCAUUGGGCGUAAAGGGUGCGUAGGUGGCGCUGUAAGUCAGGUGUGAAAUUUCGGAGCUUAACUCCGAAGCUGCAUUUGUUACUGCGGUGCUUGAGGACUGGAGAGGAGACUGGAAUUUACGGUGUAGCAGUGAAAUGCGUAGAGAUCGUAAGGAAGACCAGUGGCGAAGGCGGGUCUCUGGACAGUUCCUGACACUGAGGCACGAAGGCCAGGGGAGCAAACGGG